GGCGACCGGCACACUGGGACUGAGACACGGCCCAGACUCCUACGGGAGGCAGCAGUGGGGAAUAUUGCACAAUGGGCGAAAGCCUGAUGCAGCGACGCCGCGUGAGGGAUGACGGCCUUCGGGUUGUAAACCUCUUUCAGCAGGGAAGAAGCGAAAGUGACGGUACCUGCAGAAGAAGCGCCGGCUAACUACGUGCCAGCAGCCGCGGUAAUACGUAGGGGCGCAAGCGUUGGUCCGGAAUUAAUUGGGCGUAAAGAGCCUCGUAGGCCGGCUUGGUCGCGUCGGUUGUGAAAGCCCGGGGCUUAACCCCGGGUCUGCAGUCGAUACGGGCAGGCUAGAGUUCGGUAGGGGAAGAUCGGAAUUCCUGGGUGUAGGCGGGUGAAAUGCGCAGAUUAUCAGGGAGGAACAACCGGGUGGGCGAAGGCGGAUUUCUCUUGGGGCCGAUAUCCUGACGGCUGGGAGAGAGCGGAAAGCGGUGGGG
rnacentral:rRNA from 1 species